UCUGCACCAAUUUUCAUGGCCAAUGGGAUAGUAUGCAAUCUUCUUUAUUUUUCAGUAAACGAUUGGCAGGAAUCUGGUAUGUAUUUAAAAGUCAAGAGCAAGCUCUGCCAGGAGAAUUUUCUGAAACUGAAACUCAUAAAUUUUUGAGUAAUAUGGUUGAAUAAUAAUAUUUAUACUCUAGUCAAGGAAUUUUAUCUGAUAUGUCUUUAUUUUCAGAAAUAAAAGAUGAAUAAAAACUUUGUAAAAUAAUUAUUAUGUAUUCUGAAUAAAGUCUGGGGAAAAAAAUUA